AAAUCUAUAAUGUAAUAUAUAAUUAAGUGUUGAUAUUUUGUGUUUUCUCUUUCUCCUCUCUCUUACUCACACUCUAUCGCUCUCUGAUUGAGAAAGUAAACACAGCAAAGAUGAAGAAUAAUAUCGGUAGCUGUUGAUGCAGCAUUGAAGAGGAAGAAUAGCGACAGUGGUAAGUGAUGUUGCUACCGUCAGUGAAACAGUAGCAGCUGGCAGCAAGUUGACGACACCGGUGAAUAGAAUGGAGAUCUCCUGCCAUCGGUGCUGUCGCGGAGUGAACCGGUGCCGGAGCUUACUCGGGUUUCGAGAGUGAGUGACGGCGCCGGAUGGGAGGCUUUUGGCAGGGAAAGUGAAUGAGACAGAGACACAUGUGGUGGUGGUGCAGGACGGAAGCGGGGACUACACCCCCACCAUGGCGGAGGUGUGAAGCCAUGAAGGCCUCGGAGAAGAAGAGCUUGAAGAGGACAGAAUUGGAAAGAUUGGAACAAAUUGUGGAAUUGUACCUUCAGCAGCGAAACCUGCACAGCUUAAACAUUUAUGGAAGGCACCUCACAACUCAGGGUAUGGCAAAUAUUUUCAUUGAUUUUUUGACAUUAUAUUAGGGAUGAUAAUUUCAGUGUUAUUUUUUAAAGUUUGAUUAGUUUAAAAUCAUAUGCAUCUUUUUGAACCUUAAAAUCAUAUGUCUAUCUAAUUGCCCAUUAUAUAUUAAAUUGCGGUGAUAUUUUGAAAGGGAACUAUUUUACAAUAGUUUUGCUUGCAUUUUUCAAUAGAUGUUGCAUAAAAGGGCACUGUUUGGGGAUUUAUAAAUCUGGAUACAAUUAUGUUAGUAUGAAGCUUAAGCCAUUACCCAAAUUCCAACCUGCAAUUUAAAGUAGGAAUAAAUUCAAUUAAGGGGAUUUGGAUUUGUGUAGACACGGACCAGUAUUAGUUGCUACAUUGUUAUUAUUAACUGAUUUAGAGUUUCCACUAGCAUUGAAGUAAGAAGUGUAGAGUGAGUAAUUUUGAAUAUUUGAGACUCGAGAGAAGUUGAAACUGUUGAUAUCUUUUAUCUAAGGUUUUUAGUAUAUAGUAAGUAGCUGCAAAAUGGGACAUGAGACAGUGCAUUAUUGGUUAUACUUUGAGCUCAGAAGAGAAGCAUUUUCCAAAUAAUUGAUAGAUUGAAUAGUUGCGUCAAAUAAAAAGUUUCUGCUAUACACAGGUUGCUUUAUGUAUAAAAUAUCAGUCUAUCAAUUUUGGAGUGGUAAUAUAGCCCAAUCUAAUAAAUUUAAAAUUAUGAUUUUGACUUUUUGAUAGCCAUUUGUUCAACUUUUGUCUAUUUGUUAGGAAUCUCUUAUUGAAUCUGUGACCAGUACCAAGAAUGAAACUCUAUCCAUAACAGCUAAUGAAGGUUAUUGUUGAUUUAGGAUAGAAUUUUAAAUCAGUUGUUCAUAAUUAACUUUGCACAACUAAGAGUAUUAGAGGUACAAAGGAAGGAAAAAGUGCAGGUUAGUGGGAGUGCAUAUGAAUGACUUCUUAAAAAUGUGUUUGAAGUUGUAAAAUUCAUUCAUCAUAUCUCUAAAGCAAUCAAAGUAGUUUUGCUAUCUUAUGAUCAAAUAUAUGCUUCAAGUGGAUCCUUUGUUAAGUUACUGCACCAUUUGAAACUGCUUUAUUACAAAUAUCAAAAUUUUGGUAUUUAGUUAAUGGAAAAAAUGGUCUUCAAAUAGAAUUUUAGUAUUACGCAUUAUACCAUCAAUAAAAUAGAAAGCAGACUAUAUAUAUAAAAGCCCCAACAUGAUCAAUGUACAGUAUUUGUAAUACUAAAAUUUUUGUAAUACUAUUCUUAAUAAAGUAUCUUGCCUGAUAUAAAAGUCCCAACAUGAUGUUAGAAUAAAACUGAUGUAAGAAUAAAACUGUUGGAUCCGCAGAACCAUAAAUUUCCCUUUUUUUUGUUAUACUUUUUUCGCAUUUGGAGUUGAAUGUUGCUGUCUUUCCUGCAGUCGUGCAUCAUACUAGGGGCUGAUGAAAAUUGAUAAAAUAGGACGGAUUCUAUAGUUUGUAGAAAAGUCAAAGGGAUCUGAUCCGAAGAAAUUGGUAUGUUAAUGGUAUCAAAAACCUCAAACUUCUAACAUGUUUCUUUACAACUGCAGUAAGUUGACACUACUGUCCUAGGGUUAUCUACAGAAGAAGCAAAGAAACAUCCUUAGAUUGCGUCAAUGAGUGGGUUAAUAAUAAAGUCCAAAAAUGAAAGAUUAUCAUAAAUUAGUUUUAUUUUCAGUAAUUAAUUGUAGGUUUAAUUUUUUUUUCCUUUCAAAUGAUCAUAGGUAAAAUCACCUAAGAAGUGAAUUUUUUUAUGGUAGACUGUUUGGAUUGUGUUAAAAAAAAUUCAAAUUACUAUCAUCAUGUUUAUCAGUAUAAGAAUUUAAAUUUUCGUUCUUUUCCUUUUGUUUUAUUAAUCUGAUUUGUGUAGUGUGUUUUUCUAAAUUUUUUUGUCGUGGAUGCAACCCAUAUCCUUUGCAAUUACUGUUCUGGAUUUUCUUUGGUUUGAUGAUUUACAGGUAUUGAUGACAUCCUUUAUGCUUACAGUUCUGGAUUGUCAGCUAAAAUUGCAAGGAAUAUUAUUGGUACCAGAUUUUUAAUUUUAGAGGUUUUCAUUCAUGUAAGGAAGCAAAGUUUCUUUUUGACAUUUUUGGGAAUAACAUUACUUAUUUGGCAUACUUUUGAUGCUGCACAUGCUCUGACCAAUGGUGUUCUUCUAACUGAUAUUUAAAGGGAUUGAGAUGCAUUCUUACAGGGUUUAGCCCUAUAUAUCAUGGCUUUACUCUUCCAUAUUUGAAGGGAUAUUUUAUCCCAAUUUAGUUUUAAUAUUUCUAUACAUGUCAAAAGUUUUUUCUUCUUUUCUAAACAAAAAGUUCUCUCUUCAUUCAUGUGAUGGUAAUGUGUCUUUGUUGAGGAAAUUCUAGCUUACAUAUGCUUUUUCUUUCUUUGGAUGCAUGCAGUAUUUUUACUUUUAUGUUGAAAUGUGCUAUAUAUUUAAGUUAAGACGUUAUAAGUUUGUUGGUGCAUGCAUUAUAGGCACAAUUUUAAAAUGGUAUUCUAGGCUAAGAAACAAUGAUGCAUUCAAUCAUGUGCAGGACCUUGACAUUAUGGUAAUGAAAUAUGAUAUAUAUGUUUUUUUUCUGAUACAUAGUUUCAAAAGUUUGCUACAAGAUACUACACAAUACUUUCCUAUACUUAACUCUCUUUUUGCAGGGACUUCAGGCGAGCCAGGGUUCAGGAGGAGGAGAUCUUCUCCCUUUGGGAACAAGUUGAUAUUGCCUGUAUGAAUAUGUUGAAUGAGAAAUGCAAUCUGGAGAGACAAUUCUCUGAACUAAGAAUGGUUGGUUGAAGUCUUUGUUAUUUAUAGUUUAAUUUCAGCAGUUUGUUGAAUUAGAAGAAAUUUAAAAUUAGUAUAGCUGAUCGAUUUUCAAUCUUUUGAAUUUGUUCUUUAUUGAUUAUAAUUUGUCCGGAAUUCUAAAAUAUUGGUUAAUCUACCAUAAUUUAUUUUUUCUUUUAAACGAAUGAAGUGGCUUUAGAAUUAAAGAAAUAACUAAUGAGAAUUGUAAAUAAUUUAAGGUGUCUUCUUUAGGAAGUUAAAUGAGGUGUUAGUGUGUUACUUUAUUUAGUUUCAAUAUAUGUGAGGCUUUCCAAAAUAAAAGGAUAUCUAUUUAGUAUUUUAGGGGUUUUAAAUUCUUUUAUUGCAAGCUUUAAAUUGCAUAUGUGAAUAGUGCUUUUGAUGAUUUUGAAGUUUAAUUCUGCAAACUAAGAUUAAGGCAUGAGUUUUGCAUAUUAACAUAGGAAAAAUCUAGAGCUGAUUUACUCUCCGAGACAAUCGUUGAGUAAGAGACCAAGGUUAGUGCCUACAUCAAAAUUUAUUAGUUAUUUUACUUUGAUUUGCACUAAUCUUAGACUACUCAUUAUUUAGUGUGCUUGAUUAGCUUAUUUCUAUUUAUUUGAGAUUGGCCAUUAGAUGAAAUAAUAUAAAUGUAACUUAUCAUCAAUUCAUAAGUCGUAUAAUAAUUGCAUAAUAACAUUUUGAAUUUGAUCGGGUAUUUUUUGUUUUCUGUGAAUUUUUGUGAUAUUAGAUAGUUAACUCAAAUGAUUAUUUAAUAGUUACAAAAAAGUUAAAUGGGAACUAUACAAGAAAAAAAAAAGAAACAGCGUUUACAAGAUACUAUUUUUGUGAUAUUAUUUUCAGAUACAUUGGAGCUGAGCAACUUCCCAGUGAAGUAUAGAGAGCUAAGCAAUGAUGGAAAAUUCGGAAAUAUGAAUGAUGUUACUGUGUGUUCCAGUUACUGAAGUGGAUUUAAUGCAUUAUUAUAUAACAGGUGGAAAGUAAUACAAUACCCCAUAGAAUAUUAAACUAUGAAUAGUCAUUUAAUAUAGUAAGCAAAGGAUUUGCAAUCAUGAAAAAUACAAUAAACUUCUUUAACAUUAUUAGCAUGUUUAAGUUUUGCAUUUUUAUAGAGUUGAAGCUUGGAAUAUGAGCUCAAGUCUAAAAGACGAAGAGUAAAAACUAAAAAGUAAGAUCAAAUUCAGUUGAACUAUACUAAAAAUGUUUUACUUAGCAUAUGUUAAUUUUUAAUACUAACUUUACUCAAUUAUUUACACUAUAUUUAUGGUGAGGUUUGUUAUUAUUUAUUUAUGUUGAGUUGUUCUUGAUUUUGUAAUUCUUCUUUCAUAAAGGCUGUUCUGUUUUUUUUAUCUACACCUUUCUCCAAUAAAAAUGUUCUUAUUAGUACCCAGAUGAGCAGCACAUAUGAACAAGGUAACAUGACUGAUAUAUAUACAAUGGAUCAUAUGAGCAGCUCGUGCGAAGCGCGGGAAAUACUAGACAAAUGGGGUUUACAAACUCUCUAUCUCUCUAUAUAUAUAAUAGGAGAGCAAUACAUGAUUAAUUGAUUGACAAGUGGUGGUCCUUAUUGUAUGACAAGUGACAUUCUAACAAAAUAAGUUGAAUUUUGAACCACAACAUUGGGCGUAAAUUUUAUCUCCAUUUCCUUUCAAAUCAGUUCAAAACCAUUCACACUAUCUCUUAUGCUCAACUUUUUUUUUUGUCAGGUAUAUGAAGCAUUCAAAAUACAAAUAAAGAGAAAACAUUUUGUCACUAUAUCAGUAUAUCGUCUAAUUCGGGUCAAAGGUUCCUCCUCUGAAAUCCUCUCAUUAUUGGAGACGUGAUACUUACACGGUAUAUUGUUCACUAUAUCUUCGAAUUUGCGCAGUCAGAAUUAUUUGGUAUUUUUUACAUUCUCUGAUCGUGUGAGUUCCAAUUUCCUCUAAUCUAACUGUAUAUUCUUGCACGUUUGAUAAAUCUACAGUCUAUGUGAUGUAUUUUGGUCGGUGAUGUAGUUGCAGCGGUGGAGUUGCUAUUAAAUAAGCGACGGUAAGGGUGGCUACAGGUUACAGCGAGUUCUGUGCCUCCUAGCUCACUUGGAGUUAUCUCUGUGCCUUUAAAAGCUAGAUCCAUGGCUAAAAGAAAGACAACUUAGGGUAAAUUCCUCCCCAGCUUACUUUUUGUGCACCUGGAUUCCAUAUCUUCGUUUAAGAGUUCAAUUAGUGUGGUUAUAGUGACCUACAUUUGGAACCAGAUUGUAUCUUAAUGCUGCAAGUUAGAAAUAGAGACUUUGAUUUAGCACACUUAAUUCUUGUCAAUUGUUUUUCCUGAGAUUAAUGAUUGUGAAGGUUGGAAUUACCAAAUUCGAUUAUUUUGUGUAGGCUCCUGAUUAUGCUAUGUCAUCUAUUAUGGUUUC